GACGAACGCUGGCGGCGUGCUUAACACAUGCAAGUCGAGCGGUGCGGCGAACGGGUGAGUAACGCGUGAGUAACUGCCCCCCUCCCUGGGAUAACAGAUGGAAACGGGUGCUAAUACCGGAUAGGGGGGGAUGAAUCGCGUCCGAUCAGCUUUGUGGUGGGGUAGUGGACUACCAAGGCGACGACGGGUACCCGGCCUGUGAGGGCGACCGGACCCAUUGGGCUGGGUGACGGCCCAAACUCCUACGGGAGGCAGCAGUGGGGAAUAUUGCACAAUGGGGGAAACCCUGAUGCAGCAACGCGCGUGCGGGAUGACGGCCUUCGGGGUGGAAACCGCUUUCAGCCUUGACGCGGUAGUGGCAGAAGAAGCACCGGCUAACUACGUGCCAGCAGCCGCGGUAAUAC
rnacentral:rRNA from 1 species